rnacentral:rRNA from 1 species
AGAAUCAACGCUGGCGGCGUGCCUAACACAUGCAAGUCGAACGCGAAAGUCCCGCAAGGGAUCGGUAGAGUGGCAAACGGGUGAGUAACACGUGGGUGACCUGCCUUCGAGUGGGGGAUAACGUCCCGAAAGGGACGCUAAUACCGCAUAACACCCUGCCUUUUAAGAGGUGGACAUCAAAGCUGGGGAUCGCAAGACCUAGCGCUUGAAGAGGGGCCCGCGUCCGAUUAGCUAGUUGGUGGGUAAUGGCUCACCAAGGCUGCGAUC